AUUGAACGCUGCGGCAUGCCUUACACAUGCAAGUCGAACGGUAACGGGCCUUCGGGUGCCGACGAGUGGCGAACGGGUGAGUAAUGCAUCGGAACGUACCUUUCAGUGGGGGAUAACGUAGCGAAAGUUACGCUAAUACCGCAUAUUCUGUGAGCAGGAAAGCAGGGGAUCGCAAGGCCUUGCGCUGAUUGAGCGGCCGAUGUCAGAUUAGCUAGUUGGUGAGGUAAAGGCUCACCAAGGCGACGAUCUGUAGCGGGUCUGAGAGGAUGAUCCGCCACACUGGAACUGAGACACGGUCCAGACUCCUACGGGAGGCAGCAGUGGGGAAUUUUGGACAAUGGGGGCAACCCUGAUCCAGCCAUGCCGCGUGAGUGAAGAAGGCCUUCGGGUUGUAAAGCUCUUUCGGCCGGGAAGAAAUCGCAUGGGUUAAUACCCUGUGCGGAUGACGGUACCGGCAUAAGAAGCACCGGCUAACUACGUG
rnacentral:rRNA from 1 species